rnacentral:ncRNA from 1 species
UUAUCGCCUCUAAGCAUUACAAUUGUAUUGAGAAAGAAAACUCAUAAGAUAACAAUUGCUAAUAAAUACUGAUAAUAUUUA